rnacentral:rRNA from 1 species
ACUCUCUGUUUAGCCGCACCUCUGUAUUUUAUUGUUAUGAAAAAGGGAGGUGGAAAGUCAGUGCCAAAUGCAUGACAAUCCUUGAUCGAACUUAUUUAUGAUUUAGGGCUAAACCUGGUAAACAAAUAAAUAUGUGGUCUUUCUGGAAAUGUCAAACAAAAGCUUUUCCCUCACAUCUCAGUCACUUUUACUUUUUUUGUUAUUUCAUAA